rnacentral:rRNA from 1 species
GAGUUUGAUCAUGGCUCAGGAUGAACGCUAGCGGCAGGCUUAACACAUGCAAGUCGAGGGGUAUAGUUCUUCGGAAUUAGAGACCGGCGCACGGGUGCGUAACGCGUAUGCAAUCUACCUUUCACAGAGGGAUAGCCCAGAGAAAUUUGGAUUAAUACCUCAUAGUAUAACGACUCUGCAUGGAGAUGUUAUUAAAGUCACAACGGUGAAAGAUGAGCAUGCGUCCCAUUAGCUAGUUGGUAAGGUAACGGCUUACCAAGGCUACGAUGGGUAGGGGUCCUGAGAGGGAGAUCCCCCACACUGGUACUGAGACACGGACCAGACUCCUACGGGAGGCAGCAGUGAGGAAUAUUGGACAAUGGGCGCAAGCCUGAUCCAGCCAUGCCGCGUGCAGGAUGACGGUCCUAUGGAUUGUAAACUGCUUUUGCACAGGAAGAAACAACGCUACGUGUAGCGUCUUGACGGUACUGUGAGAAUAAGGAUCGGCUAACUCCGUGCCAGCAGCCGCGGUAAUACGGAGGAUCCAAGCGUUAUCCGGAAUCAUUGGGUUUAAAGGGUCCGUANGCGGUUUAGUAAGUCAGUGGUGAAAGCCCAUCGCUCAACGGUGGAACGGCCAUUGAUACUGCUAGACUUGAUUAUUAGGAAGUAACUAG